rnacentral:rRNA from 1 species
GACGAACGCUGGCGGCGUGCCUAAUACAUGCAAGUCGAACGCAGUGGGGACGGGGGAGUUACCUGUGGGUAACCUCCCAUCAGAGGGGAUAACAUUUGGAAACAGGUGCUAAACCGAUACUGAUGGAUGGAACGGCGGUGCAUUAGCUAGUUGGUGAGGUAACGGCUCACCAAGGCCACGAUGCAUAGCCGGCCUAAGAGGAUGAUCGGCCACACUGGAACUGAGACACGGCCCAGACUCCUACGGGAGGCAGCAGUGGGGAAUCUUGGGCAAUGGACGAAAGUCUGACCGAGCAACGCCGCGUGAGUGAAGAAGGUUUUCGGAUCGUAAAACUCUGUUGUUAGAGAGGCGGUAUCUAACCAGAAAGCCACGGCUAACUACGUGCCAGCAGCCGCGGUAAUAC